rnacentral:rRNA from 1 species
AGUGGAUGGGGAGCAACCUAGUUGUGCGUGUGUAAAGGUAGUGCCAAGAAAAGCGAUGAUCAUGUUGAAAAUCAAUUCCCGGUACCCGAAACCGACACAGGUGGGCAAGUAGAGAAUACUAAGGGGCGCGAGGUAACUCUCUCCAAGGAACUCGGCAAAAUGACCCCGUAACUUAGGGAGAAGGGGUGCCACCGAGAGGUGGUCGCAGUGAAGAGGCCCAGGCGACUGUUUAGCAAAAACAUAGGUCUCUGCAAACUCGAAAGAGGAGGUAUAGGGGCUGACGCCUGCCCAGUGCCGGAAGGUUAAAGAAGUUGGUCAGUUUUAGGAUGAAGCUAGCGACUGAAGCCCCGGUGAACGGCGGCCGUAACUAUAACGGUCCUAAGGUAGCGAAAUUCCUUGUCGGGUAAGUUCCGACCCGCACGAAAGGCGUAACGAUCUGGGCGCUGUCUCGGAGAGAGGCUCGGCGAAAUAGGAUUGUCUGUGAAGAUACGGACUACCUGCAUUUGGACAGAAAGACCCUAUGAAGCUUUACUAUAGCUUGGAAUUGUGUUCGGGCUUCCUGUGCGCAGGAUAGGUGGGAGGCGAAGAAGGUAUUCUUGUGGGGAUACUGGAGCCAACGGUGAGAUACCACUCUCAGGAGGCUAGAAUUCUAACUUAAUUAAGGACAGUUUCAGGUGGGUAGUUUGACUGGGGCGGUCGCCUCCAAAAAGGUAACGGAGGCGUACAAAGGUUCCCUCAGACUGGUUGGAAAUCAGUCGCAGAGUGCAAAGGCAGAAGGGAGCUUGACUGCGAGAAGUACAGUUCGAGCAGGGUGGAAACACGGUCUUAGUGAUCCGACGGUGCUGUGUGGAAGGGCCGUCGCUCAACGGAUAAAAGUUACUCUAGGAUAACAGGCUGAUCUCCCCCAAGAGUUCACAUCGACGGGGAGGUUUGGCACCUCGAUGUCGGCUCAUCGCAACCUGGGGCGGAAGUACGUCCCAAGGGUUGGGCUGUUCGCCCAUUAAAGCGGUACGUGAGCUGGGUUCAGAACGUCGUGAGACAGUUCGGUCCAUAUCCGAUGUAGGCGUGAGAAUAUUGAGAGGAGCCUUCCUUAGUACGAGAGGACCGGGAAGGACGCACCGCUGGUGUACCUGUUAUGAUGCCAAUUGUAAACGCAGGGUAGCCAAGUGCGGAGAGGAUAACCGCUGAAAGCAUCUAAGUGGGAAGCCCACCUCAAGAUGAGUAUUCUGGUGUAAGGUCACGGGAAGACGACCCGUAAAUAGGCACGAGGUGGAAGUGCAGAGAUGUAUGAAGCCGAAGUGUACUAAUAGACCGUCGGCUUGACCU